rnacentral:rRNA from 1 species
CUGACACAGGGAGGUAGUGACAAGAAAUAACAAUACAGGGCAAUCAUGUCUUGUAAUUGGAAUGAAUAGAAUUUAAAUCCCUUUAUGAGUAUCGAUUGGAGGGCAAGUCUGGUGCCAGCAGCCGCGGUAAUUCCAGCUCCAAUAGCGUAUAUUAAAGUUGUUGCGGUUAAAAAGCUCGUAGUUGGAUUUCUGCCGAGGACGAUCGGUCCGCCCUCUGGGUGAGCAUUGAUUCGGCCUUGGCAUCUUCUUGGAGAACACUACUGUACUUGACUGUAUGGUGUGGUAUCCAGGACUUUUACUUUGAGGAAAUUAGAGUGUUUCAAGCAGGCAAACGCCUUGAAUACAUUAGCAUGGAAUAAUAAGAUAGGACCUUGGUUCUAUUUUGUUGGUUUCUAGAGCUGAGGUAAUGAUUAAUAGGGAUAGUUGGGGGCAUUCGUAUUUAACUGUCAGAGGUGAAAUUCUUGGAUUUGUUAAAGACGGACUACUGC